UACGAAGGGGGCUAGCGUUGCUCGGAAUCACUGGGCGUAAAGGGUGCGUAGGCGGGUUCUUAAGUCAGAGGUGAAAUCCUGGAGCUCAACUCCAGAACUGCCUUCGAUACUGUAGAGCUUGAGUUCGGGAGAGGUGAGUGGAACUGCGAGUGUAGAGGUGAAAUUCGUAGAUAUUCGCAAGAACACCAGUGGCGAAGGCGGCUCACUGGCCCGAUACUGACGCUGAGGUGCGAAAGCUAGGGUAGCAAACGGG
rnacentral:rRNA from 1 species